AUUUAGCUAGUAGAAAUAAAAUACAAUUAAUUUCCACUUAAUAAAUCUGUUAUAACAGGCUAUAUA
rnacentral:tRNA from 1 species